CAGUGAUAAACUGGAGGAAGGUGGGGAUGACGUCAAGUCAUCAUGGCCCUUACGACCAGGGCUACACACGUGCUACAAUGGCGCAUACAAAGAGAAGCGACCUCGCGAGAGCAAGCGGACCUCAUAAAGUGCGUCGUAGUCCGGAUUGGAGUCUGCAACUCGACUCCAUGAAGUCGGAAUCGCUAGUAAUCGUGGAUCAGAAUGCCACGGUGAAUACGUUCCCGGGCCUUGUACACACCGCCCGUCACACCAUGGGAGUGGGUUGCAAAAGAAGUAGGUAGCUUAACCUUCGGGAGGGCGCUUACCACUUUGUGAUUCAUGACUGGGGUGAAGUCGUAACAAGGUAACCGUAGGGGAACCUGCGGUUGGAUCACCUCC
rnacentral:rRNA from 1 species